rnacentral:tRNA from 1 species
GGUUCCAUAGUGUAGUGGUUAGCAGACUGCUUUACACGCAGAAGGUACUGGGUUCAAGUCUCAGUGGAGCCA